GCACAGACCGAAACAUGGUGACGAGAAGGAGAGGGACAACUAUCAAAGAGGGGUUUUAAUUGAUAAGAAAGUCAGAUCUUUCAGUGCGUUGAAUUUGUACGAUAACUUUCGGUUUCUGAGAAGCAAAACUGUAGAAAACGUUUACAAACCUCCCAACAUUGAUAUUUCCGAAACCAGGAUGACCCUUAGAAACCAGAAAUAAAACGACCAACGACAUUUUUCCGGUUUCAGAAUUUUGUGAAAAUCAAUUUCGCGAUUUCUGCCUUUUGUCAAGCUGUGUAAAAUUGAGUAAAAUGUUCAAAUAAUAUGGCGACCCCUGGUAUCUGACACGCUGUGGAUAGCAGAAAAAAAUAUUCAAAUACUACCUGAUAUUAGGUUUAUAGAACAGAGCUGUCUCCUCAAAACCGAACAUUGGAAGAGAUUCAAAACUUGAGGAAAAUGUGAAGAUAGUCCCAUCAUAAGGAUAUUGUCUGCAUAGAAAAAUAAAACGAGAAGACAAAGCAAGCAUUGAUUUUCACUACCAAAGCCACUGAAAGGAGCACAACAACAACCAUUGAUAUGUCAUGAAUUAGUCUAGAAAAAGUUCAGCAAUUCUUUUGGGAACACAAUAUAACGGA